GUUUGGUUGUUGAACUAAAAACUGCUUGUGUAGACAUUGGUAUAUUUUGUCGGACUAACCCCAGCAGGAAAACUUUCAAUAUCAACCUGGGAAGUCCUGAGAUACAAACUCACAUUGGAGAUAAAGGAGACACAUGAAGUUUAAUGGUUUGCACAAGGAAGACAUAGCUCAUUCAUCAUAGAGAGAUGAUCCAUGGAACGAGACAAAGAGUGCCACAAACAAGAUACACACCC
rnacentral:lncRNA from 1 species